rnacentral:tRNA from 1 species
UGGCUCAGUUGGUAGAGCAUGGCGCUUGCAACGCCAGGGUUGUGGGUUCAAUUCCCAU